GACGAACGCUGGCGGCAUGCUUAACACAUGCAAGUCGUACGGUACGGCCCUUUCGGGGGUCCAAGAGUGGCGAACGGGUGAGUAACACGUGCGUAACCUGGGCACAACUUUGGGAUAAGGGUAGGAAACUGGGGUAAUUACUGGGUAUGUGAGAUUGAUGCCUGGUGGGGGUUGGAGCGCUCCGGCGGUUGUGUAUGGAGUCGGGGGCUUACCGCUUGUUGGUGGCGUAGUGGCCUACCAAGGCUGCGACGCGAAGCCGGCCUGAGGGGGUGACCGGCCACAUUGGGACUGGGAUACGGCCCAGACUCCGACGGGAGGCAGCAGUGGGGAAUAUUGCACAAGGGGCGCAAGCCUGAGGCAGCAACGCCGCGGGCAGGAUGACGGCCUUCGGGUUGUAAACCGCUUGCAGCAUUGACGAAGCUUUUUGUGACGGUACCGGCAGAAGAAGCACCGGCUAACUACGUG
rnacentral:rRNA from 1 species